rnacentral:rRNA from 1 species
AUUGAACGCUGGCGGCAGGCCUAACACAUGCAAGUCGAACGCGGCGCGGAGGGGUGAGUUAUGUCUGGGACACUGCCUGAGGGAGGGGGAUAACUACUGGACACGGUCGCUAAUACCGCAUACCAUCAGAUGUGCCCAGAGGGGAGUAGCUUGGGGGUGGGGAAACGGCGCACCAAGGAGACGAUCCCUAGCUGGUGUGAGAGGAUGACCAGCCACACUGGAACUGAGACACGGUCCAGACUCCUACGGGAGGCAGCAGUGGGGAAUAUUGCACAAUGGGCGCAAGCCUGAUGCAGCCAUGCCGCGUGUAUGAAGAAGGCCUUCGGGUUGUAAAGUACUUUCAGCGGGGAGGCGUUACCCGCAGAAGAAGCACCGGCUAACUCCGUGCCAGCAGCCGCGGUAAUAC